UUGAACAGAGAAUCUCCAUUUGCAAUCAGAGUUGCCUUUCUGAUAGGACAUUUUGGAAUUGUAUUAUAAAACCUUAACCUGUACCCUAUUGAUUUUCCAAAAGUAAACACAUUUUAUUUUGUUUCUUCCCCACCUUAUAGUUUACCGAAUGAUCCUGGAUUUCACUGUUCCUGGAGGAGCCUUGGUAAUCAUACUGUUCUCCAUAUUCUUCAUGGAGAUGAUCUUUCAGCUUGAAGGCCAAGGCUGCUCACAGCCCAAAAAUCUGUUUGUCAGCAUGGCAGUCCCAGCUGGAAUCUUCUUCGUUAUUCUACUCUCUCUCUUUGGCUGGUAUCACCUCAAGAAAGAAAACAGGAAGGGAGCUGGAAGCCCUUACCCAGAAAUAGGGGAAAAUUAACAGAGAGAAUGGAAGAAAAUUAGGAGAUGAUGCCCAGAUCCUUAUAUUCUUCAAGCUGGAAGAAGCUUAAGACCAUCUGGCCCAGUGUUUACGAGGUGUCACAGAAGUUGCAAAUGUGGUAAUGCCAGAUCGACCGUCGGAAUGAGGUUCUGAAGUAGAACUGCCCUACAAAGCACGGACCUGAAACAAAGUUGAUCUUCUCUCCCCUUCCUACCAUACCUCACUGAUCUACUACUACAACCGAACUGGCACACUUGGUUCCUUUAACACCAAUAACUCACUGUAUUUCAAUCUUGUUUGACUCUACACUGACCCCUUGCCUAUAUCCUCCUUCUGUCCAAGAACCCCCUUUCCCUUCAUUUCUGACACCUUCUACGAAAAUCACAUUUGUUUUCCUGUCUGUCUCCCCUUCCUCACUGCAAGCUCCUUCUGCGCAGGGAUCAUGUCUAUCAACUCUAUGGUAUUAAAUUCUCCCAAGCGCUUAGUACAGUGAUCUGCACAGAGUAAGUGCUGAAUAAAAAUUAUUGCUUGACUGAUGGAUGGAUUGAUUAAUUCCUCAAAAUCAGGCAACUUUUGGGUCUCCAGUCUCUUGUUCUCUGGCCCAGUUUCUCACCAAACCCCAGAAUCAGACAUGGAGAGUGGGAUUCUCAUACAUGAGAAGCAGUGUGGUUUAGUGGAUAGAACACGGGCCCAGGAGUCAGAAGGACCUGGGUUUUAAUUCCUGCUCUACCACUUGUCUGUUGUGAGACCUUGGGCAAAUCACUUAACUUCUCUGUGCCUCAGUUACCUCAUCUGUAAAAUGGGGAUUAAGAGUGUGAGCCCCAUGGGGGACAGGGACUCUGUCCAACCUAACGUGUAUCUCCUCCAGUGUUAGAACAGUGCUUGGUGCAAAGUAAACACUUAACAAGUACUAUAAUCAUUACAUUAGUCAUUCUCUGAGAGUGGGGUAUUAUCAUUCUAAGCCACUCUCCUGAGCAUCAAUUUCUUCUUUCCUUCAAGGCAGAAGGGAUUAACUAGCACUGGUGGCUUAGAAAGAAUAUCUGGGGCCCUGGCAUGGUUACACUCUAAGACUUCUAUGUAAAAUACAAAACGCCACAUCUCCCUGUAGACUCAUCUUCAAACAUCUCCAGACUUUGAACCCCAUAGUCUUCUUUUGACAUGUGAAUGGUAACAUGAUUCUUAGUGUCUGACAGGUUUUCCAAUUCAAAGUCAAACAGGCUUUUCAAUGUGCUUCUCUCUUGACCUAUCCCCUUUUCUUUUCUCAUAUCCGUUUCAGCCUACGUUUGCUGGGAGGGGAGAUCAAUAUUAUGUUUUGCCUGCUCCCCUAUGGUGAUUGAAUGAGUAGCAGUGAGUGUAGCCAGGUAAAAUGAGAGGCUGAUUUUAUUCAAGCCCCUCUUUACUGUAAUCUCACUGUGGGCAGGGAUCGUGUCUGCAAAAUCGAUUGCAU
rnacentral:lncRNA from 1 species